rnacentral:lncRNA from 10 species
CCUCUCCCUUAUGUUUCAAGGUAUCACAGGACCACAUGAACUCCAAGGAAGACCAGGGAAGAAAGGAGAAUGGUUGUCAGGAAAGGCAGGAGUCUCUACCACAGAUAAGCGAGCAUCUGCCCCCAGGAUGUGGGCGCCAACACUGAGGCCUCGGACUUGGGGCCUCAGCCAAACUCCAGAUGUCAGCAAAAGUCCCAUUUUCACAUCCUCUUUUCAUACCAUGCCAGAUAUUUCAUGCAGUCCCCUCAGCCUGCUCUCUGAAAGAUGGAAUUCUUCAAAGAUCUGAGCCCACGCAACUCACUUGGAAACAACGCUUGAAGGAAAUACUCCAAAAUACUGACAACAGUGAUAAACUUAUUAAUAAUUUAAAUUUCGUUCUUUCCAUUUUUCUGCAUGUUUAGGGAUUUUUUUGUCUUUUUAAAACAAUGAACAUAUGUUGAUGUUGUAAUCAGACAAUAGUAUAAAUGAAAAACGAAAUAAGCCAAAGAGGUGAAGGAAGCACCAAGACUGCUGGGGCUUCCUCCGAAGCUGAGGUCGGAGCCUCAUGACGCACAGACGAGAGGUUCUCAUAAAGAAGGUGAGAAGGAUACAAUUUAAAAAAAAAAAGAAGCUGAGAAAGAGAAAGAGAUGCACAGGGGGUCAACAAGAAAUGACCACCAGGACCAUCGUAUUGGUAGCAACACUUGCCAGGAGAGGCAGCCGUGAGCAGCUUGCUCCACCCCUGCUCAAUCUCAUGAGGUUGUGCCUGGAGCCAUUCCUUCCCUGGAGAUAAGGAGCUCAGGAAACACAACCUGUGCUGAACUCACCACCGUGCUUGAGGACACCUUUCUCUGUUGUUUCCUCGUGUGUACUUCUUUGGUCUGCUUCAGCGUAUCCAUCAUAUCGUGCCUGGCCAACCUCACUGCCAUAUCUGUUGCCGACAAGAGGGAAAUGAGGUCCUUCACCUGCAGCCUGAGAGGGGCACGUGCAGACCACCUCCCUGCAUUGGCUUCAGGACAAGACCCACUGGCCACGGGGAACCAACAGUCACUAGUGAAGUUUCUCCGUGUAAGUAAAGUAUUGUUCCAUCCAG